rnacentral:lncRNA from 1 species
GCGGGGACGGGGACGGGGUGAGGAGCAGCGCGCGCGCGAGGUGUAAGGGGGGGGGCGGGGAUUGGUUGCCAUGGCAGUGACGUCAAAGAGUGCCGGGGACAGGGAGCGGAGACACGGAAAAGUGCUGGAGUGGGGUUCUGUGCUUUACGUGCCCCAGGGCAUGGCUCAAUCUAGCAAACCCUGGAGUGAAGCUGCUAUCAGCGUGUGGAGACUGAGUGCCACCGACAGCCUGUUGUCUGUUCGUGCUCAGAGAGUUAUGUGGAAGGACAGGAGUGACUCAGUAAUAGGAAGUAUUAGUUGCACUGAGGCAAAACCAGGUGAAGUUAUUACUUGGUUACUCUGUUACCUUGGGUCAUUGUUUUGCAUCAGUCCACUGUUUGCUUAUGAAUCAGAAAUAGUAGUGCUUUCCAAAAACAUACUGUGAAUAAACACUAAUGAGCUCAAAAUGCUUAUCAGCUGUAGUAAUAACAGGUAGAUGUGUUGUUUCUCUAUAGUGGCAUAGACAGUGCAGCCAGGAUUGUUUUGCUUGCAAGCUCUUCCUGUGGCAGUAACUUUGCACAGAAGUAGACUUUUGCUUCAAAAGACAUUUUAUAACUCAUGAUACUGUGUGAUAUGCAAUGUUAGAAACAUAGAAUCAUGGAAUGACUUAGGUUGGAAGGGACUUUAAGGGUUAUUGAAUUCCAACCCCCUCCUGCGGGCUGUGUUAAGUCAUAUUUCGUAUUUUUAUGCAGAAAGUUCUCUAAUACGCUUUUAAAUAACCGCCAUUCCACAGUGCAAAUAGUUUGGGGUUUUUUCUCCUGUGUUCUUAAAACAGCACCAGUACUGCUAAGGAAGCAGUGUCUGGUUGUCUCUGGGUGAGGUGAUAGACUGAGGCUUUUGAUAUGGAGUUGGAAGAGAGAAGUUCCAGUAUAUCUGCUCACAUCUUGGCGUGAUCAAGAAAUUACUUGGAACUGGUUUGUAACUCACUGUGCCACCACACAGCUAUACUUGCCAGGGUUGAGUAGUAUUGUUUACGAGGUGCUGUCUGGAGAUGCCUCUGUAUUUGCAAGAAAAUACUGAAGCAGGUGACAGUAAGUUCAUUACAACGAGCUGAGCAGUUUAGGAAACAGCAUUUUUAUUCUCACAUUAUAAGGUGAUCUACAUAGAAAAUCAAAUGCCUUAAGUAUGCCACUGGCAAGCACUUCAAUAGAGGAAUCUGAAAACUCCAUAGGAGUUGCCCGGAGUGGUUUGUGCCGCUCUCAAGAGCAGUGCUGCCACCACCAUAGCAGGUGAGCUGGAGCUGCUGCUCUCAGGAGUACUGAGCAGAGUUGGCUGAGUUUUCCUCUGCACUUUUGCUUUAUGCAAAUCAGAGCAGGUAGCUCGCUUGUCUGGUGUUCUUUGAGUUUGUUUUUGUUUAUUUUUUUGUUUUUCUGAUCUAUUCUAGAAAGAUACACCACAAAGAAGCACCAACUGCCUGGUAUCUUUAAGCUUUGCUUCUGAGAGUAUUUUGUUCUGUAGUUUAUCACUUGCCUGCUCAAGUUUGUUUGGAACUUCCAUACUGCUAAAUAGGACAACUGUUCUGUGUGAGGAGGAGGUGAGCACAACAGAAGACUUUUGUCUUCGGUUUUAACAACAAAACUGAAAGUUGCUCUGGCAAAAUGGCAAUUCAUUGUUAAUUCAUGAGAUGUAGGUGCUCUGGAAAAAUCAAAUACCAGUUUCAUAGCUACCCUUAGGCAUCUCUAAUUUAUGCAAGCAGGGCUUGCCAAGUAACUACUGAGUCUCACUGACCUUAGUAGGUUUGCAGAGGUCAUAUUUUAACACAGAUAAGUUAUGCUUGAACUAUUUUCUCAGUAGGUAUUAGGAGCAAGUGUUUGUGUACACAAUUACAUGCUUUUUGCCAAUCCUCCAUUACAUUUUCUGUUUUUCUUUAGAUUCUUGCUUGUAAGUUCUACAGUAAAUCCUAGAGUUUUUUUUUGUGUUUUUUCUUAAUCUGUUAUCUUAAGUAAGAAACGUGAGUUUUUGAGGACAGCUUCUUUUUUGGGGUCUCAGUAAAACAGAACAAACAAAGGUUUCAUAGACCGCCAGAAAGGCAGUUGUAGGAUCAGGGAAAGUCGGGGUAUGGGAAGCCAGAACAGCCCAAACGUGUGAGUGACAUCAGCAUUUUUCUGAGCCGUUUAUGCUGCUCACUUCUGUCGGUUCCCAGCAGUGCCUGUGUCUUAUGUAAGCUCGCACUGUACAUCCUGUCCUGCUGUUCUCAUGCAUGAAAAUCAUUGGUGUUAUCUUACUGUACGUUUUGAGAGCUGAGCAGUUACUGGCUACUUGUUGUCUCAAAUGUCUGCAUGCAAAUCUCUCACAAGCAUGCUGGAGAGAGCUAUGCCAAGAGCAUGGUGCUGUCCUCCUAGGAGACAUCAGAGGGGUAAGUUGUAGUAAACGCCGCUCGCUCGUCCUUUGCUCUUUCUGGUAAUAGGCACUAUGAAGUAAUGCAGCUACAGAGGUAAUUGUGCUGCUACAGUCUGAAGUGCUGAUCUGUGUCACGUGCAGAUGGACCACUAAUGCAGUUUCAAUGGCUGGUGAUAAAACAGACAUGGAAAACAAAGGACAGUGGUUUCAACAGAAGCUUUAAUGAUGUUAGGACUGGAAAAGAGAGGCUUUUAUAUACUCUUACUGUGCACUGCUUGUUACGGGUCUUGGAAAGAAACUGUGCCUUCAGAUGGACUGAUGCUUUACCCUUGUUCCUGUAGUUAGCAUUUAGUGAUGCAUAAUGAAGGUACUGUCACUCAAUGGGUGAAAUUGGAGCAAACCUUCCAUUACAAGGCUUCAGAAACAAACAUUCCCUCUAUUUUUUUUCUUGCUAAAUCUAUCUGAAAUCGUCAGGCGUAAAAUCCUGCAGUAAUGUGAUCUGUUAAUGCAAAGUAAGUAACUUGGCCACCUUGUUUAAACGCUACCCAGUGCUUCAGUUACGAAGCAAAACUACCUCUGCUUCUUAAAUACUCUUGUCUCUUCUGUUUGUGCUCCUGCAGUAUGAAGGAGACAAGUUUCUGCUCCUCUGCUCUGGUGAAUGCGAUUGUGUGGCACUGUGGCUUGUUUUGGGGGAGCUGUGUUUGAAGGGCUGUAGAGUUUGUUACAAGCUCUGAUAGGAAAGGCUGACUGGCAGGAGAAGUGCACCUGGGUAGGAGUGCGUUUGUGGAAAGGCCUUGGAAGGAAUGAAAGAAUCUUUCUUGUGGCUUCCCAGUGUGAUCCGUUCCAUGCCGCACGAAACAAUUCCUCAUUGUGCUGGAGUGUAAGACUUAACAAGGAAACUGGCCAUCUGAAGAGGAACAGGUGCAAUGCCCUGACGCUUAGAAGCUAACCAGAUUCCUGAGUGAGCAGAUCUUGCAGAAUUUAAGGAAACUUAUUGGCAGAACAUCUAAGAAGGACUUGAAUUUUUGUUUUGAGUAGGGAAUUGAAUGAUCUCUGCUGCCUUUCACACAAAUCUAGGAAUGCAGUGGCUCUAUUUAGUGCUUUUGUUAUUUUCUUGAAGAUAUAGAAAUAUGUUUCAAAAGCAUAUGCAGGAAGAUGGAGUUGCAGCAGCCAUAAGAACUUGUAAGAAAGCACCUGCACGUUGUGCAUUUGGGAUUCCGUGGCAUUAUAUUUUAUUGCUUUACAGAUGCUUACGUGACUAUCAGAAUCCACAUCUAUGUUGUCCAUAUUCAAUAGCCUUUUCAUUUUGUUGAUGUGGACAGAAUCUAUUCAGGAUGCUUAAAUCUGCUAAAAUAUUUAUAAGAAAGUUGGCCCUUGGAGCAUGUUUCCCACAGGAUGCAGUGGGUGUCGGGGCUAAAGGUCAGUGCAGACGAAGUAAAGUGAAAGCUCUUUUGCAUUUAUUUUCCUACUUUUUUUUCUUAAUUUUCUUUUGAAAGAGAAUUCUCUGUGUUAAGAAGCACAGAACUUUCCUUUGCUACUUCCUACGUUUCCAUACACUAAGAAGCAGGAAUGGACCUGUAAAUACUUAAGCCUUUUAUUGAAACUUUGCUCCCUUUCUUUAGGAGAGCGGGGAAAAAAAAUGAAACCAACAACCCCAAAUCAGUGCAGUUAAUGUAGUCAUGGGCUCUGAGCAUGGAAGUUCCCGGUGUAAAGGAAAAAAGCCAGAUGGAGUUUUAAGUGACUGUCAUGUACCACUUAAGAAACGCACAUUCCUGAUACUAAUAAAAGGGCCAGAUUGGAGCUACAUAAUUAAUCCCAGUGUCCUUUUCAGCACAUGAUAAGAUUUGGCUACAGCAGUCAUAGAGCUAAUGGAGACAACUGUCAGGUUCUACAAAGCAGUGGAUUGUUUGCCUAAAAUAAAAAUACCUAUGUGAUUAUUCUUGUACAUAUAUUUGUAUCUGCUGGUGAUUAGUACUUAUGUCCCAGUUCAAAUGGAAGAUAAAUGGAGCUGAUUUGCUUUUGAAUCCCCUUACUGCCUUAAGUAUCUGUAUAAAUAUAUACACCAGAUAUGUCUGUAAAUAAAUUAUUCCUAUUCAAUAUAUAUUUAAGAUGGGAAGUAAAUGUUUUUUAUUAUUUUCUUUAGGAGUUAGGUGGCAAAACUUGCUCUCCUUUGGAGUCCAUUUGAAAUAUAGUGACUGAUGAAGGCCAAGGAGCAAUUCUGCAAUUGUUUAUUCACUGUAUGUGUCCAUGACCUGGAAGAAGCGUGCAGGAAUGGGCUAAAGCAGAGAUGCUUCUGAGAUGGCACAAAGUGUGUGUUGGAGGCAGACAGGAGGAGUGGGCAGAUGGCAGUCAGAACAAAACAGGUGAAUAAUCAAAUUGGGAACAAGCUGAGUAGACUGUGCAAGCACGUGUGGUGUGCAAUUUUGGUUUAGUUACUGUGAUAGGGAUUUAGUUACUUUAUGAUCUUUGCAAAAGAACGGUAAAAAAUCAUGAGCUUGCCCAUAUGUAAUGGUAGAAGUAUGCCUGCUGUUGUGUGAGGUUCCUUCUGGGAGGAACAGAACAGUCAGAGCCUUUGGGAAUGAGAGAACUUAAGGAAAAACAAAACAAAAAACCAAAAACCACUUUUUCAGUGUUCGAAACCUCACCUGCAAGUUUAUUUGGAUUGCUUUGGUAUUAAUGCUCUAAAACUAUACUGCCUGGAUACUACAGGUAUUCUGUGUCAUGAGAGAUGUUGCUGAAACAAGCUAGAGAUAGCAAGAUGUGUUUGUGAUACUUCAGCUAGAUAAAAGAAGUUCUGUAACUGGUUUGAAAACUUUCUAGACUAGACAGCUGCCCAUUGAGUAGCUCUGUGAUCUCUUCCAGGUUGUAGCUUGAGGGCAGUACUGGAGUGCUAAAGAAAAAAGGGAUUGUAGUGAUGAGUGAUCGAUCCCUUAACCCUUAGCACUGUGCUAGGUGUUAUACUGAAAAGAAACCCACAGGUAGAAAUGCUGUCUGCUCUCACUUUGCUUAAGAAAAUUUAGGAUAUCAUUUUGCUGCAAUAAUAACAAAGGCUAUAAUCUGUACAUAAUCUAUUGAGGUACUGUUGGUGAGCCUAGCAGUAACUUGUCAAAUCAAUCUUUCCUUCUGUCUAUCUGUCUCAAAAUAUUCUUGCUUUGUUUCUUUUUUUAGGGAGUUCAAUAACUUGGGACAGCACUGAGCUGCUCUAUCUGGAGAACACCCUUCUAACCAUAAAGGGGAGCUGCUCUGUCUAAGGUAGUACUUAAUAAGCAGAAGUACAACCUUUCUUAUAGUUAAAAAUUUAUUUGGUACGCGUGAACUCGCUAUGCUUGAAAUUACUCUUCCAUAAUAUCAGUAUCCUUGUGUACUGUCAGUUUAAGAUGCCUCAGUCUGAGUGACACUGGUGAAGAGUUCUACUGCAUGAGGAGGUUGAGGGAAUUAAAGCUAUAUUUCUGCAGAACUGAAGGUUAGAAAGAUAAAGGAAGAAAGAUUAACAUAUUCACAAGGAGUGCCCUAGAUAAGAUUGCUUCCUGUCUGAGGACAUACCGAAUCCUGUGGGAAUGAGGCAGCUAUACUACUAAAACACACUUCAAUUCUGAUGUUUCAUACUGAAUCAUUGCUAUGUUAUAAGUGGUAUUAAUGGAAUUUAUAAAGAUGUUAGCAUUUAUAUAAAGAAUAUAGAAAUAAGUUCACCCAAAACAUCCUUUUGCUAUGUAAGAGCUGUGUGGAGAAUGAACAAACACUUGAGGGUUAACAUGAGUAUAAUAAAUCAGAAUGCCACAUGAACCUCAGAGGACUUCCUUCAUCUAUUCACUUCAUUGUUUCCUCUGCUGAUACAGCACAGCUCAGCCAAAUGCAGGGUCAUUAUUGUUCUGAUGUUCAAAGUGUUUCUAAAUGUUCUUGAAGAUGGAACUCUUCUCUUUGCGUUGUCUUACACUGUUUAGUUUAUUAAUUGUUCAGUGUAUCACACUGAGCAUUUUUUUAAGCAGAAGUCAUGGUGUAAGUCCACAGGUUGGAGUAAUUGGUGAGGUGCAUUGUGAGCUGUUGAUAACCUACAGGAAAGGCUCAAAUUUAUACCUUCAGGAAACUGCUGUUUCCCAAAGCUGAUGCUUGGCAACAGAAGAUGCCCUGUUGACCCUCUGCAGCUUGGCAGAAAGCGCUCCUGAGUAUGUGAGCUUCCAAAGCUUAUAUCCCAGGGUACAGACUGCUCAGGGCUGCUGGCUGGCACAGUGCAUUCCCAUCAGCGUAAAAUGGAGGUCACAGUUCAGUAAAGUAUAAUCUGGAAAAAGACUGUAAAAGUAGAACAGAUUAAAAACUCAGUUUUGGCAUUUAAGCGAGUGAUGACCUGUCUAGAUAUUUAGCUGCUGUUACUUGGGAUUUCUAAGAUGUAGCUCAGCUGUUGGACCUGGAGAGGCAGUGUUUACAGCAGUAGUCUCACGUCAGCUUUAGCUUUGAUUACCUUUUGGUUAAGUGUAUCAAGUUAAGAUUGCUGUGAAUUCUGUCAUAUUUUCUUUUCUGUGUUCUUCUUGUCUUGUACUUAUUCUGUGGUCACAAAAGCUGCUUGUUGUUCAUGGCUUUUCCUGGAGAUGGCUGUUGCUUUUUCUUUCUAUCCAUAUUUACUUUGCUGAAUGGUCCAUAUUUAACACGCAUCAUUGCUUUGAACAUAUUCUUACAGCGUGCUUAUCUACACUAGUGUAAUGUGUUCUGCUAACCUCAUGUUUCCAGAUAUUUAUAUAAACCGCAUAUGAUAUAAUUAUUAGCACUGCUGCUUAAACUUGAUAAUAACUGAUCUGAUCAUUUAUAAACUGCUUGCAAAUAUAUUUUUCUCAUUGUUUUCCCUUAAUUUACUGCUUUUGGAGGUUUGGUUAAAUAAUUAUUUUGGAGAUUUCACAGAAUCGUAGAAUGGCUGGGGUUGGAAGGGACCUCAGGGAUCAUGAAGCUCCAACCCCCUGCUGCAGGCAGGGCUGCCAACCUCCUUAUCUUAUACUAGACCAGGCUGCCCUGGGCCCCAUCCAACCUGGCUUUGAACACCUCCAGGGAUGGUGCAUCCACAACCUCUGUGGGCAGAUUUAACUUGUAAAACUUCUUAUUUCAGUAUUAAUACUGCAUUCACUUCUACAAACAUAACUAAACAUUUUUUUCCAUCAAAUUAGGUUAAGAGAAGAAACUUUAUAGUGAACUCAUUUCCAGUACUAGUUUUGGAGUAUAAAUUUUCCCAACACAGUGGCUUCCAGACUUUGUUUUCUUAGGUCCUUUUGUCUUAGCUCCCAGAUUUCUCUGUAGGUUAAGGACACCAUCCUUUUAAUACAGCACUUUGCUGAGGAGAACUAAGCUGUCUGCUGGUGGAUCAGGCACAUUGGGUGCAUUCAGGUUACGGGAACACUGGGAGCGUUCUGGUAUUCAGGAAGGCAGUUCUGCAACCUGUCCCGUGUUUGUUCUGUGUCAAGGGAGCAGUACUUUAAGGAAAUAACAAGGGAAGCUAAGGUGACUCCUAGAGCUUCAUGAAGGCUGGUCUGCUGUAUGUGUAGAGUUCCUAGUAGAACAGACAACUGAACAGCUUGUGAAGUUCAGUGCUUGAAUCAGCUGUGAGAUAGGACAGAUUCCUUCAACCAGGUUAUUUGUGAUAUGAGAAUACCAGCAUCCCCAUAUGACCAAACCUCUGCUGCUGUUCUUAAAUACCGUUAAUCGUUAAUUAAACUGCACCAGGAGAGUGUUUUCAUAAGUCAGCUACAUACAAAGAAAAGGUCAGUAGUAGUUUUAUGUCCGUCUGUUGGUGCGUUAUAAAUGUACUAUUGUAGAAGUCUACUUAAUAGUGCAGGUAGUUCAUAGUAUGCUGAUAACACAAACUAUCUGUCAGUUUCAAUCACUUUCUUAACCCACUGUAACAGCAGAAUUUAUUUUACCUGUCUCGGUAAUGUUUGUGCAGUUAGGAGUUCCAGAUCACUGGAGACUGACGUACUGUGACAUACAGUUUAUUGUCUUUUGUCUUUUAAGCUGUAUGUAGCGAAUGGAACUCAUUUGAGGAAUCCUACUUUUAAAUAGUAGAGUAUCAGGUUGGGUGUGGAAGGACUAAAUGUGAGAUUGUUUUCAUACGGAAAAUAUGUUUGAUGGUAAAUACCACCAACUAAUGCUAAUUUUCUUGCACUUAAUUGGAGCAUAAGGUAGUUGACUGUGGGUCUGUGGAAAGACAAUGAGUUUUGGUCUGUUACUGAUACCAAAGUAUAUAUUAUACAAUGACUAGAAUUUGGUAUUUGCAGUCUUUCCUUAAGUGCACCUUCAUAGGUCCCACUGUGCAACUGAACUUCUGCUUCGCUAUUUCUGCAGAACAUGUGUUGUAGAAGUGAUAGGGUUAAUGCUCAUUAUUCUGGUGCUGGUUACAUUUGAGUUCUUCUAGUUGAGAGGCAGAUCACAAACUACAGGUGAAACUGACCUUCUAAAACUGAUUUUUCAGGAAUAGUUUCUUGAUGCUUUUACUGCUUCUCUGUUGAGUUAAUAUGGUUCCCACAGGUUGCUGCUUGAGGUGCAGCAGUUCUGUAAAACCAAGUGGGAAUUUGUAGCUGGCCACUAAAAAUGAAGAGUAAAAGCAGUGGGCCUGUAUGAACUGAGCAUGGCAAGAGUCCUAUAAGAAGGGUUUUUUUGUUUUUCUUGUGGGCAUGUUAUUGUUGUUCAUAUGUAAAUAUGUGGAAGUGGGUUGGUAUGGUUAAAGCUAUUUCUCUUAAUUUGUCUUCUUAGUUUUGUGGUUCAUUUGUGUUGGAGAGAGUCCUUUUUAAUGACAUUUUUGUUCUCUAGCAAAGUGCACUUUAAAUCUAGAUAAAACCUAAUGUAUCAUGUAGAAUGUGGAGACUUAAUGAUGUUUCUCUGUGGGAGCUCCUCUUUGGGUUUGGCUUGAAUCUUGUGGGCAGACUUUACCACAGACCUGUACCCUUCACCUAAUGAAGUAAUUAUUGUUUGUCUGUUAAUAACCAGCCACCUUGGUUAGUGGAUUUUGCAAAUACUUUUUAGGAAUUCCAUUGUUCAGAAAUCUGUUGCACUGCCAAGUUCUCCGUCUUAGGUGCUAUAGAUGCUUUGGAAAACAAAAAUGUUUGUUUGGUUUUGCAUUGUUUUGGCUUGCCUUUUGCCUCUCCUUAAGGUCAGAAUGCUGUCAGGACUGAUCUGUACUAUCUGUGUACCAGCAGGUGGAGCAUUGGUAGCAUAAGAUGGGUUUCUGUCACUUAGUUCAGGUGUUUGGGAGGAAGAUAGUUCCUUCAGCGUUUUAGAACAUUGUGACCUCUGUGGAGGUGGAAGCUGCUGACUCUGUUUGGUGUUAACAUGGCACAUUAACAAAAAAUGUUGAAGGACAAUUUUCAGACUUGCAGGUGAGGUGAACUUGGCUGUAGAGAGCAAAAGGCAGCUUGGUGUUUCUCUGCUUUUUUCAAAUGCCAGUUACCUGCUGUGAGGCGUGGAAGUAUUGAAGCUACAUCUAAAUGACUGUGAAGCUUUUAAGGGAGCAGAAUUUUGCCAAGUUUGUGGGGGUUUUGUUUGUUGCAGAGUGAGAGGAGGUUCAUAUGGUUUCACAGUUCACCUGCACUGAUUUAAAGUUGUGUUGUCACUAAAACAGGCAGUCCUGCCUUACAAAGUUUCUUCCUGCCAGUGCCAGGGACUGCCCUGCCACCUGCCUGCAGAAAACCGAUCUUUUUUUUUUCCCCUCACCAGGAUUAGUUUGCAGCUAAAUAUAGCAGUUGGUUCCAGUAACUCGCAUCAUAUUUUUAUCAAAUUCCUGUAAGAAUGGAGAAAGCAGGAAUCCCUCUGCCAGAAGUGAGGGCGAGCAGGACUACUGUUCUGCUACCCUACUCUUAGUAUGAUCAAUCUAAAUCACCCUGAAAUCACUUUGUAAGUACUGUAGCAGUCUUUUCAUGUCUUUGGAAAGGUCCCUUACGAUAAUGAUACCAGCCUAAAGGUAAUGAUGGUAAACAAGAUUAAAUAUCUCUGGGUGAAGUUCGUAUCACAGAGUUGUCUUUUGAGGUGUGACCAAGAUCUCAACUGUGUGGAAUUUUUGCAUUCAUACAUUACUCCGUAUUUUUCAGAUACGCCUAGAUGUCCAGUGUUUGGGUUCUGUGACUUAAAAUUUAGCUAGUAAAAACAGCCUCAGGAUUGACUUUGAAAUGACUUUACAUCAUCAUCUGCAGAAUAGCUGUUGCUGUAAAUUGUGCAGUGGCAUUCUUUGUUGCUGAUCCUGCUAUACAUACGUACAUAAAGCUGUAUGGCGAACAGGUACACAGGUAUUGGAUCAGAGAGAUUAUCACGUUACAAAGGAGAAAUGAAAUAAAGAUCUUACCCGUGUCCUGGGCUUGCAGAAGGGCUCCAAGAGGAAGGAUCUCCAGCUGGAGAUCCUUCCUCCUUGGGAGUCAGCCCUUAAAUGGGGUCUAGGAGGGUCGCUUCCGGUCACUCAGGUGAAAUUGUGUUCACUGUGCCCCUGCAGCUGACUCAGCGCUCGCCUCAGGUGGUCAAUCAGAGGUUCAGGCUGUGAUUCAACAGUUCCCAUACAUACAGCUUACCUGUUUUCCUGUUUGGUUGGUUUGUUUCAUGUGAGAGCCAGAAAGAAAGAAGAUGAAUCUUCGUUUAUUCCCUUAGGAUACUUUACCAAGAUUGAAGUUGGGAAUAUUUUGUAUCAGAUCUCUCACAUUUUUUGGAAAUGUACUUGGAACAGUAUUGGGUAUCAUUUGGCAAUGCAAGUUUAGAAUGUUUUUUUUGACAUGGUGAGCGUUAAUUUGAACCUUGGAAUGGGCCUGUAUGUUUCCAACUUUUUCUAGUAAGUACUGCUUAAUGAAACUUUGCUUUAAGGUGUUGCUUCAGUUUGUAUUGCAGCACUGUCUUAUGUCUUACAACUUCAGAAAAGAUUUCCUGCUCUAAGUGCUUUUCCUGCCUUUUUAAUACUCAUUGGAUACAUCACUAAACUUGCACAAUAACUGAAAGGCCACUUAGUAGAUUACAUGAGAUAUUGUACUGAGGGACAUGGUUUAGUGUGGAAGUAUUGGUGGUAGGUGGACAGUUGGGCUGCAUGAUAUUGGAGAUCUCUUCCAACCUUGGUGUUUGUAUGGUUCUGUGUGUAUUUUAACUAGGAUCAGAAAUGCAGUUUUGAUCAGACUCAUCUGAUAGUCUGCAGUUACUAUUUUGCAGCUUUUGUGGAGCAUAAAAAGCCUUUUCUUUUUGGAUGAAACAAAAUUGGCAGUUGAACUUGGCUGAUGCAUUUGAAUGAAUGAUAUUUAGGCCAAACAUGGGACUACAGCUAAUUUUGGAGUAAGGCUCUGUGAAGCACAGGAAGUGUGAGUGUUGUCUUAAGCACAAACUGUCUUUUUUUCUUUUUUGCUUCCCGUUGCACCAAAAGAUGUGGAAAACUUAAGAGUUGAUGGAAGGCAGAGAGUACAUUUUAGCUACCGCUCUGUUGAUGAAGUAUGUGCAUUCUUAUUUUGAAACCCAGAGAUGACUCAAGAUUAACUGGCCAAAAAUAUCCAAAAAGCAGGGUAAUCAUGUCAUGAAUAACCUAGUUUUUUCUUUAUCAGCCUGUUCUGUGUACUGCAUUGAAUUGUUACUUGCCUUAUGUUUUUUUUUUUUUAAGUAGGGGAAGGAACUUCUGCUCCAAAGUUUCCCAGCUGCUUGUUUAUUGGUUUAAUUCUGUUUCUCAGUAAAGCUCUGCACUUGUACUGUGACAAAAGAGCAGUUUGGUGGGUCAUAGAAUACAUCUCCUGUAUUUUGUUUGUUAUAGAAUCAUACAACUGUUCAGGUUGGAAAAGACCUUAAAGAUCAUCGAGUCCAACCACAACCUAACCAUACUACCCUAACUCUAACAGCACUCCACUAAAUCAUGUCCCUGACCACUGCAUCCGAAUGGGUUUUUAAACACAUCCAGGGGUGGUAACUCAAGCACCUCCCUGGGGAGCCUAUUCCAGUGCUUAACAACCCUUUCUGUAAAGAAGGUUUUCUUGAUAGCCAACCUAAACUUCCUGGUGCAACUUGAGGCCAUUUCCCCUCAUCCUGUCACCAGUGAGAAGAGAUCAGUCCUGCUCUUGCUGUAAGUACCUUUCAGAUAUUGGAAGGGAGCAAUAAGGUCUCCCCUCAGCCUCCUUUUCCCCUGACCAAACAGUCCCAGUUCCUUCAGUUGCUGCUUGUAGGGCAUACUCUCCAAGCCCUUCACAAGCCCUGUUGCCCUUCUUUGGACCUGCUCCAGCACCUCCAUGUCCUUUCUGUACUGAGGUGCCCAAAACUGAACACAGUACUCAAGGUGAGGCCUCACCAGUGCCGAGUACUAAAUGAUUAAAAAACCCCUAUUUAGAGUUGGUGGGGAAAUAAGAUUUAGUAGGGAAAACAGAAAGACCAGAAAUCUGUAGCCUAUCCUUAAGUGUUAAGCUUUUUUGCAUGUUGCUGAAGAGUGAUGUUCUAAAAAUUGUCUCUUCAAAAUAGUUUUUUGGGAGACAUUCUACAUACAUUUCAAACUGAAGACAGCUUCUGCAAGCAACCGAAGUGAAGAUAUCUUUCAUGCUGUCUACUCUUAAAGGUGCUGGUGUAAAAAUAAGAGUCUGGAGGGGUUUUUUGAAGAGCAUUGAUUAUGAUGUACAAAGGUCACCUACAAACUCUCACUGUAAUAAUGAUUGCCUUUUCUUUUAGUAGUCCAACAGCUAAAUGUUACGUUGUUCCAAGUAAGGAAAUAUGACUCAAAGUCAACAGAUACACUCCUGCUGUAUUUACAGACCGGGAAGUCUGUUUUGCUGCUUUGAGUUAGAAACUAUAUAAGGAGGUGGCUUGGUGCUACAGCAAAUGUUUGGGAGACUAUGAAAAUAGUAAUUUUGUAAAGAUAUUUGUCAGAUCUUUUGGGCAGUUGACUUGAGAAUAUGAGGAAAUAUUUUCAAAGUGAACUGUUUUGCCAGUGGGUUGUGUCUCUUUCUGGUUACUGUCAGUAAAUCCUGAAAACUGAUUUUCCUUAGAGCAACUUGGUGAAAUCUUGUAUUUUGAAAGUAAAAGUUUUCAGAGUUAUUGACUCUUUUUAAAUGUUCUUUGCUGUUGUAUCAUUUCUUGUUUUGCUUUUGAGAUUGAUGCUUGAAUGGAUGCUGUGAUGACGUGCUGUCCUUGUGUGGACUGCUUCCUUUGGGGAUAGCAGGCUGUGUACAUGUACUUAAAAGAAUGGGCCUCUUGGCUUUACUGCAAAACAAAACUUUUUUAGUACUGCACACUUACAUGACGUCCAUGACUUGCAUGCUUGCUGGGCUGUGUUUAUUUUAUUUGAGUAAUUCAAAAGUUGUAUGUAUUUUGCUGGGAGCAAGGUUAAGAUUUUGAGUUUUGUACAGAUCGCUUCUCUGUCUGAUGUCCUUCAGGGUUUAAGUGUGAUGGAGGACUUGAGCUGGUGCUUCACACCAUAAAGAAAACAAGUCGUUGCAACACUGCACUUCCACCAAAGUCUGCUUCCUUCAGUAGCAAUCUCAGAUUCUGCUCAUUGAAAUUGUGCAUAUGAGAAUUUGUUGUAUUUGCAACUACUAAUUUGAAAGGGUUAAAAUAUGUUCACAGAGGACUGCCCUUAAAACUAUUGUAUUGUAUUCCUGCUAGAUCUCUUGGUGGCCUGGCCCAACUUGUGUAUUUCCUUACCAGCUUCUCUAGCAAUAGAGUAAAAUAGUGUAGUCUUAAUUGUGCUGAUCUUAACAGAGCAUCCAAAUGUGCCUUUGGUCAGCAGUAUUGAUGACUCAUUGGAGUUAUCAAAUUGCUUCCAGCAGUGUUACAGAGAACUACUUAAGGCAGCUGGUAUCACCAGAGAAUUAUAAUCUCAAAUGGGAGCAAAUAGUCAUUAAAUGAAGCAUUCAAAAUGUGCUGUCAUUUUGGAGUAUGCUACAUCAGACUGGGCCGAUAGUCAAUCAAAAAUGGGAUGGGGAUGUGAAGAGAAAAUAGCCUAACAACUGGGAUGUGUAGCUGCUCUGGUCUUGAUUUCUAUUUAUUUAUUUUAGGGAAGGUUUUUCCAUUCACUCUUAACCAUUUUUGAGCCAGCAGGCACGAAGGGCUUCAGUGUUUUAAGAAACUUCCUAAUGGAUUUUCUUGCUUUAAAAUUUAAAAAUUUACUUCUUAUGAGCAGAGCUCUUCUGAUAUUAUUCCAAAGAACAUCUGUUAAAAGUAUUCUGUAUCCUAUUUCUUGUCAAGUCCUAGGGUUGGUUUUGCCCUCCUGUGACUACCUUCUGGUCCCUUUAAAAGAAAUGAUCAGAUUAAUUUUUUCAUAUUCAGUAGUGUGAAUUUUCUUUGUAUGUUCCAGAUUGAGUGUAAGACAUAAAUGAUCCUCCAAAGAAGCUUUUCUCAAAAAAAAAAAGAGCUUAUUUUCUGAAGACAACUUUGUCACUUGAACUAGAGAUGCUUCUUACCUUGACUGAAAAGGCAGACUAUGGGCACAAACUGGAAGACUCCUCAAGGUAAAACAGGAACAUGUCAUGUGGAGAUACCUGUAUUCAUCUUUCUCUUGUGGUCAGUGCAUGUUGCUGUAUCUCCUCUGCUGAAAAAGCAAAAAUUGCAGGGAAAAAAAAAUUCCAAAAAUAUAUGGCUAUACAUUAUACAGCAACAAUCUGUUAGAAGCCUAUUCUCAGAGAAGGCAAAAAUAUAGCUAAGGAUGCUAAUACUCUUCCUUCCUUUUUCUGUUCUGAUUGCAGGUAAGUCUACUGGUGGGGGUUUUUAUGAGGUGAGGGUAAUACAUUAUGACAAAUUGUUAGUGACAGAUGGAUUUUUUUUACUUAGCUUACUUCUAAAGCAAAAUGAUCUGGAUUAGCCACUUCCUGCCCCCCGAGGUGGCUGCACAACUUCUCAGGUUACCUAAAUUAAAGACUUAAUUUGACUCAGUAAGUUACUCUAUCAGGUUGAGAGCCAAGAAGGUGUUUUAUAAAUACAUGAUUUCUGCAUGCUGAGCAGUGUUGUUCAGUCAGAGGGAAGAGGAGAAUGGGGGGGGGGAGUCUUUAAUUGCUGCCUUCAGUUACCUAAUGGAUCAUGACAAGAAACCAGCUCUUUCUUGGUGUUGUGCAGCAAAAGGGUGAGAAGCACUGGGCACAAGAUGCAGCAAAGGAAAUUCCAGAUAGGUGUAAGGCAGAAGAAAAAAGUUAGACCUGUAGCUACACAGACGUGACUAGAUUGCUUGUAGAAGCUAUGAAAUAUCUUUGCUUGGGGAUGCUCAGAUUUUGAGCAGGGAGUUUGCUGUAGGUGAUUUCCAGAGAGCCUUCCAGAGGUCAUUUCCACUGUAAGAUGUUUUUGGUUUCCAUUUGGUGAUUAGUUCACGACUUUUCUUCACCGAGAAGGCUUAUCGUUCUGAGCUGUCUUUCUGAUCUUCGAUGGUAAUCACUUUUCAUGUCUCAUUUGUUAAAAUUAUGCUCACUAGAGUCAGAAAUGGUGUCUGUGGAGACAGUGCUUUUGUAAAGCAUGUAUUAACUGAAAGGUUCUGACUGCAUGUCUGUUUUACUGUAUUUGUCCAAGUAAAGACUUCCAAAAGUGAAACCAGCUUUGAAGGUUCUCUUACAGUGCUGUUUUUGGUGCUGUUUUUUCAACUUCAGUUAAUUUUAUGUAUUUACAGUUCACAGGACUAAUACUCAGCAGAAUAUUUUGGAGCAGAGUGAGCUAAGAAGUUGAAGACAGGUUGUAUUCUCUUUAAGAGAAAAAUUCUAGGGUGUGAACUUUGAUGCAGAUGUGCAACUUAAUGGUGUAUUCAAUUUCUGCCUACUGUUCCUUUGUUUUAAACUGCUUAUUUAAAAGCAUAAGAACACCCCUUCCUCUUUCUGUGUUUGACCCCCAGCAUUCUGCAUGCUCAGUAUACUCCAGCUAAUACUGAGAUUAUUUGGAUUGCAGGUGAAUGUCUGCUUUUUCAUGGGCUUUGGAGAAGGACAGUGAGCAGCCUUUGUAGUUGCUACUCCUGUAUAUUUUUGGGAAAUAAUGCAAGAAAUGAAUAGGGGCCAGUUUUGUCUUGCAUGCUGUGUCUGUUCUUGAGUUUGUUAGAUUGUAGUCAUUCUCUCUGAUGCAGUUCUAGAUUGAUGGUCAAUUAUUUUUACCUCGUAAACCUCCAUUCUUUGAAACGAGUGAAUCAUGGGCCAGAGUGUGUAGGACAGCUUUUUUCUUAUGCUUAGUCACAGGAGACUAAGCUUACAGUUUUAUUCUAACUUAGCUCCCCAAGAUAUGCAGAGCAACUGGGUGGAUGCUGUUCUUAAUUAUGAUCUGAACUUUAUUUUGGCUCGCACCAUCACUGUUUCAUUGUUUAUCUUCCUUUGGUAAGAUGAGAACAGUAUCUUAUGACAAAAACAUUUAGUUGUUUGGUUUUCUGUAAUGGUUAUGUAUGACAUUUGCAUCCUCACUGAAAUUUGGGCUUAGAUAUGUUAAUAGUGUACUGUUUUACACAUUCCCAUGCAUUCUUAAAAUAUGAGAUGCUUUUUUUGACAGCUCAAUUUAAAACUUUUUACUUCCUACACAGUGAAACUGUCAGUUUUAGUGUUUGCACAUAUGUAUAUAUUUAGUGUAUCCUUCUAGUAUUUGAAGAGAGCUUCUAAGCAGGAAGGGGAGUGACUUUUUACAUGGUCUGAUAGUGAUAGCUCAAGGGAGAAUGGCUUUAAACUAAAGGAGCGGAGAUUUAGGUUAGAUGUUGUGGAAAAAAAAUCCUUUCUCAGAGGAUGGUGAGGCACAGGAGCAGGAUGCCCACAGACAUUGUGGCUGCCCCAUCCUGGUGGUGUUCAAGGCUGAGUUGGAUGGGGCCCUGGGCAGCUUGAUCCAGUGAGUGGCAACCGUACGCGUGGCACAGAGUUGGAGCUUGGUUAUCUUUAAGGUUCCUUCCAAUGUAAGCCAUUCUGUGAUUAGUGAUUGUAAGAAGCAGAGCGUGUGGUUUCCUGAAAAUAUACAGGAAAUGCAGUUCUAAAACUACUUACAUAUGCUUCCUACUUCAUAAUUCAUUGUGCACUGUAAACUUCUAAUGCUAUAGCGAACUCUGUGGCUGUUAAAUGAUCAGACUGCCCUAUGUUAGGGCAGAUUGUAAUCUAUCUGAAUCACUGCGUGACAUUUAUGCUGUUGAAAUUGAAUUGGACUAUGUGAGAGCUGAAAGCUAUGGCACUUUAAAUUCAGCACUGAUUCAGACACUGUGUUUUACUCGGGGCAAAUAACUUAAUGUCUAAUACUCAGUUAUGUUCUGGUCAGUAGACGUGACUUAAAAUAAUUGGAGCAAUAGCAGGGAUCUGCUUUAACUUUCUUUUUCAGUUAGCUAUUUGUGCAUGAGAACUGAGACUUCUAAUUCACUGAGUAAUUGUAAUCAUGCUGAUCAUGGAAUGAGGAUAUCUUAAGAUAUGGGAAGAAAAUAAGCUCUGUGGGAAAUACAUAAGCUCUCUUUAGCUUCCUUGUUCCCCUGCAUCUUCCUUUCCCUUAUUGCUUUCCUUCUUCCCAUCUUGUUUAACUUUCUGAUCACAGUGCAGUCCAAGCUCAGUGUGACUGAUAAAAUAAUAUGUGGCACUUGGGAAAACUGCAGUACCUCUCUGUGACCUGUGUGGCUUGGGUUUGGAAACUGAAAGAGCACAAACUUCAGGUAUCACAGCAGUGCCCUUUUUGUUGGUGUUAAACCUCUUGGUGAAUCCCUUGUACUGACAGCUUAAGAGCCAGAUUGGUAAAUGUUGUGUGUCAGGAACAGUUUAUGUAGUUUAAAGAUUCACAUGGUUCUUCACAUUUUCUGUAUGAGGAAUUUGAAGGGGAAUUCACACUGCAAGAAAUGCUACAUUCAUUGUUGUUCUUCAGCAAAUACAGUUAACAGCAUUAAUGGAAGCCAGCAAUCAAUGUCCUUCUGUUUGCAGUGACGUUAGAAUAAGUCCUGGUUCUGUGCUUUUAAGCUUUAGCAGGGUUAGAGGACAGAACCUUUGACAAAAGCCGGAGUGUGGUGUCUUUUUGUAUUUGUUUGUAAGUGUUCAGGAGAAUAGCAGAAGAUGCUUAAUCUUCAGUUUUCAUAGAAGAACUUUUAUGGAAGUUCUAUCCUUCAAAAGCGUAGUUGCACGGAACUACACUGCAGAUAUAUUUUCUUAAUGUUUUUGGAUGGAGCUGAAAAUGUAACUCCUUUGUACAAACAUGAUCACACUGUUAGAUGUUGUGCUGGGGUUGGUAGCUGACAGUUUGAUAAAACAGCAAGAGACUUCACUGUCAUUUGUAUUGUUUUUUUUGUGAUGAUCUGAGUGUUAAAAUGAAGCUGGAGGGAGUGUCCUCUCUUUAGGCAGGUGACAUUGUGGUAACCUUCAUUACUUCCUUAAGAAGCAAGUGUUGAAGGAGAGCAGCACAAGAAAUGGUUCACUGCAGCAUAAUGCUUAGCAGCCUAAUUAGUCGAAUACCAUGUGCCUACCUCUGCAUGAAAUAACCCAUUUCUUCACAAGGUAAAAUAGGAAUUUUCAGUUUUGGAACAGCCUGAAGAGGCCUUUGUUGCAAAUGUCCGUUGGCUUUUUAACUAUUUAUUCUCAAAUAAUGAAGGUCAGCAUGGUAUCCAUAGAGACUGCAUGCAGCUUCCUCGUUAAUCUUGGCAAACUCCUGUAAUAACUACAUUCACUUAAUACUAACAAGUGUUCACAUUUCAUUAAUGGGAGAACAGUAUGGGAUUGACAUUCUGUAACUGAGAAAUCUUGAAUGUGUAGUUUUUCUUCUUUAAACUCUGUUAGAAUUUCCCUUUACGAGUUGCCUUGGAGGCCUGAACAGCCUCAGAACAAGCAACUUUUAAAUUGCAGGAGUCUGCGUAUUUCCUGGAAGCAGAAAACUUCUUACUGGCUAAGCCUUUUCUUUCUGAAAGGAUCAAGAAUGAUAAACAAGGAUAAAUGGGUCUGCUUUCAGCUCUGUUAGUAAAAGGAAAGUUUUCUGCUAUGAACUAGAAUAUAAAGGCAUUGAAGUAUUAUGUAAAUAUGAUCAAGCUAGAAUGAUAAGAUUUAAAAAAAUAACCUCAUGCAGACUCUCCACCUCUGCUUUUUUUCUUCCUUUUUCUUUAACCAAGAAUGGGAGAAUUUUUGUAUCACCAGAACACUGCUGAAGUCCUUUGUAUUUGACUGUCAGAUUACUUCUGUGCAGAAAAUUCUAAUCAGAGUGUUAAUAUGAAAUAACUGAGUGCUGUAUGCUUAAUAAUGACUUUGAUUUAAAUUAAAUUUUGUUCUUGAAUAGUAUUUUGUCAUUUAAAUACUUUUAAUAUUGAAAGGGUUCUUUUAACUGAGAAGAAAGAAAUAGACUGCAUCAGAACAGAAUGCAGUCUUGUGGGACUUCUGGUACUGAGUUGCUGAAGGGGGGGAAGUAAAAUGGUUCCAUCCAGAGGCUGUUAUUGUUUUAUUCCCACCCUGACACUUUUAAUGCUUACCCCAGGAUAUAUAUAUAUAGAGAGAGAGAGUAACAGAGCCUUAAACUGAUGCUGAGAAAUAUACAUAUUUUUUCAGAAUUCUGCCAGGUUUAUUUCUAAGAUUUCCUUCAUUAUGAGCUUGUUUUCCUAAAUUAUACAUUCUUAUUUAGAAACAUAAGUAACUGUGAAAGAGUAGAUAGUGUGGAUGCUUAGAAUGGAACUCCAUUUAUUUUUUUUGAGAGUUCUGGUAAUGAAGGUAUAGGAAAGUAAAAUGUAUGUAUGAAUGUAUUUGAACCUGAAGAGGUUUAAAAAUGUGCAUUUUAAAACUUGAGUACGUAUAUUCCCAUGUCUUGCAUUUAGAAACAUUAAAUUAUGUUAAAUCUACAAUUGUGGUGUUUUUGUAUCAAUGCUUGUUUUAAGUGAAACUGAAAAUGAGAUUUUCUUCAGAAUUAGUGGAAUGGUAAUUGAUUGGAAUGUCACAGAAAUGUCAUAAAUCUUUUUCUUUUCCCCCUCCCCUAAAGGUGACCGACUACUUUGUACUGCUGGACAC